rnacentral:tRNA from 1 species
UUUAAUAUGGCAGACUUAAGUGCAAUGGACUUAAAAUCCUUAAAUAAAGGCAUCCUUUUAUUAAAA